rnacentral:rRNA from 1 species
GAUGAACGCUGACAGAAUGCUUAACACAUGCAAGUCUACUUGAAUUUGGGUUUUUAACUUAGAUUUGGGUGGCGGACGGGUGAGUAACGCGUAAAGAACUUGCCUCACAGAUAGGGACAACAUUUGGAAACGAAUGCUAAUACCUGAUAUUAUGAUUUUAGGGCAUCCUAGGAUUAUGAAAGCUAUAUGCACUGUGAGAGAGCUUUGCGUCCCAUUAGCUAGUUGGAGAGGUAACGGCUCACCAAGGCGAUGAUGGGUAGCCGGCCUGAGAGGGUGAUCGGCCACAAGGGGACUGAGACACGGCCCUUACUCCUACGGGAGGCAGCAGUGGGGAAUAUUGGACAAUGGACCAAGAGUCUGAUCCAGCAAUUCUGUGUGCACGAUGAAGUUUUUCGGAAUGUAAAGUGCUUUCAGUUGGGAAGAAAAAAAUGACGGUACCAACAGAAGAAGUGACGGCUAAAUACGUGCCAGCAGCCGCGGUAAUACGUAUGUCACAAGCGUUAUCCGGAUUUAUUGGGCGUAAAGCGCGUCUAGGUGGUUAUGUAAGUCUGAUGUGAAAAUGCAGGGCUCAACUCUGUAUUGCGUUGGAAACUGUGUAACUAGAGUACUGGAGAGGUAAGCGGAACUACAAGUGUAGAGGUGAAAUUCGUAGAUAUUUGUAGGAAUGCCGAUGGGGAAGCCAGCUUACUGGACAGAUACUGACGCUGAAGCGCGGAAGCGUGGGUAGCAGACAGG